GUCCGAUGCCCAUGGCGGGCGUUUCCUCCCUUGACUUCGGCCCCGCGCGACGACCGCUGCGGGGCCUUUUUUUCGGCUCC
rnacentral:sRNA from 1 species